rnacentral:rRNA from 2 species
UCGAACGACCCUUCGGGGUUAGUGGCGCACGGGUGCGUAACGCGUGGGAACCUGCCUUUAGGUUCGGAAUAACAGUUAGAAAUGACUGCUAAUACCGGAUAAUGUCUUCGGACCAAAGAUUUAUUGCCUUUAGAUGGGCCCGCGUUGGAUUAGAUAGUUGGUGGGGUAAUGGCCUACCAAGUCGACGAUCCAUAGCUGGUCUGAGAGGAUGAUCAGCCACACUGGGACUGAGACACGGCCCAGACUCCUACGGGAGGCAGCAGUGGGGAAUAUUGGACAAUGGGCGAAAGCCUGAUCCAGCAAUGCCGCGUGAGUGAUGAAGGCCUUAGGGUUGUAAAGCUCUUUUACCAGGGAUGAUAAUGACAGUACCUGGAGAAUAAGCUCCGGCUAACUCCGUGCCAGCAGCCGCGGUAAUACGGAGGGAGCUAGCGUUGUUCGGAAUUACUGGGCGUAAAGCGCACGUAGGCGGCUUUUCAAGUCAGGGGUGAAAUCCCGGGGCUCAACCCCGGAACUGCCCUUGAAACUGGAUGGCUAGAAUACUGGAGAGGUGAGUGGAAUUCCGAGUGUAGAGGUGAAAUUGCGUAGAUAUUCGGGAAGAACACCAGUGGCGAAGGCGACUCACUGGACAGUUAUUGACGCUGAGGUGCGAAAGCGUGGGGAGCAAAC